rnacentral:rRNA from 1 species
GGAGGGUGCAAGCGUUAUCCGGAUUCACUGGGUUUAAAGGGUGCGUAGGAGGGCAGGUAAGUCAGUGGUGAAAUCUCCAAGCUUAACUUGGAAACUGCCGUUGAUACUAUCUGUCUUGAAUACCGUGGAGGUGAGCGGAAUAUGUCAUGUAGCGGUGAAAUGCUUAGAUAUGACAUAGAACACCUAUUGCGAAGGCAGCUCACUACACGAAUAUUGACUCUGAGGCACGAAAGCGUGGGGAUCAAGCAGGAUUAGAUACCCUGGUAGUCCACGCCCUAAACGAUGGAUACUCGACAUACGCGAUACACAGUGUGUGUCUGAGCGAAAGCAUUAAGUAUCCCACCUGGGAAGUACGACCGCAAGGUUG